rnacentral:rRNA from 1 species
AUUCCUACGGGAGGCAGCAGUGAGGAAUAUUGGUCAAUGGGCGCAAGCCUGAACCAGCCAUCCCGCGUGCAGGAAGACGGCCCUAUGGGUUGUAAACUGCUUUUCCAGGGAGAGAAACUUACGCACGUGUUGCGUGACUGACGGUACCCUGGGAAUAAGCAUCGGCUAACUCCGUGCCAGCAGCCGCGGUAAUACGGAGGAUGCAAGCGUUAUCCGGAUUCAUUGGGUUUAAAGGGUGCGUAGGCGGGCUAUUGAGUCAGUGGUGAAAUCCUGCAGCUUAACUGCAGAACUGCCGUUGAUACUGAUAGUCUUGAGUUUGGUUAAGGUAGGCGGAAUGUGUAAUGUAGCGGUGAAAUGCUUAGAUAUUACACAGAACACCAAUUGCGUAGGCAGCUUACUGAGCCGACACUGACGCUGAGGCACGAAAGCGUGGGGAUCAAACAGGAUUAGAUACCCUGGUAGUCCACGCCGUAAACGAUGAUUACUCGCUGUUGGCGAUACACUGUCAGCGGCUAAGCAAAAGCAAUAAGUAAUCCACCUGGGGAGUACGGCCGCAAGGUUGAAACUCAAAGGAAUUGACGGAAU